CGGGUGAGUAAUACAUAUUUAACAUACCCCCCAAAAGUGCAUAGCUACCCGAAAGGGUAAUUAAUACACUAUAGGAGGCUCUGACACAAGUCGGAGUCUUUAAAGGCCUUGGCCGAUGAGGGAUUGGAAUAUGCUCUAUUAGCUUGUUGGCGGGAUAAAAGCCCACCAAGGCAAUGAUAGAUAGCUGGUCUAAGAGGAUGAACAGCCACAAUGGGAUUGAGAUACGGCCCAUAUUCCUACGGGAAGCAGCAGUAGGGAAUCUUCCACAAUGGGCGAAAGCCUGAUGGAGCGAUGCCAUGUGAACGAUGAAGGUCUUUUUGAUUGUAAAGUUCUUUUAUAGGAGAAAAUAAUGAUUGUAUCCUAUGAAUAAGUGACAGCAAACUAUGUGCCAGCAGCUGCGGUAAUACAUAGGUCGCGAGCGUUAUUCGGAUUUAUUGGGCGUAAAGCAAGCGCAGGCGGACGGACAAGUUUUGUGUUAAAAGCAGUUGCUCAACAAUUGUUUGCGCUGAAUACUGUCCGUCUAGAAUACGGUAUGAAGUUUUGGAAUU
rnacentral:rRNA from 1 species